UACAGAGGGUGCAAGCGUUGUUCGGAAUUACUGGGCGUAAAGCGCGUGUAGGCGGCGGCGUAAGUCGAAUGUGAAAGCCCUUGGCUUAACCAAGGAAGUGCAUUCGAUACUGUGUCGCUUGAGUACCGGAGGGGAUGGCGGAAUUCCUGGUGUAGAGGUGAAAUUCGUAGAUAUCAGGAGGAACACCUGUGGCGAAGGCGGCCAUCUGGACGGUGACUGACGCUGAGGCGCGAAAGCGUGGGGAGCAAACAGG
rnacentral:rRNA from 1 species